rnacentral:lncRNA from 1 species
CGGCUGGGGGCUUUAUUAGGGGGCACCGGGGUCUGCUUUCCGACUCCCUUCCGACUCCGCGCCUGCGCAGGAAGCGAUUUGGGGAGUGUUGUGAAUUCCGAGGGCUCCACACUUAAGAGGUUGUACACUCACCUGUCUACCUGGACUCCAAUUUCCAUAUUUCCAGCCACUUGAGGACUGAGAGGUGGAUGAUAAACCCUGUCAUAGUGGAGCAAGUUCAGGUGUUUAACCGCUGUUAUGGGGGAUCUGCCUUUUCUCCCUCUUCUUUCUUACUUCCAUAAGUAUGUAUGUGCAGAGAUUGAAAAAUAACCUUGAGAGAGUCCAUCCAUCUAACUCCAGGUAAGACUGCAAAUAUUUCUUUCUUAUAAAUCUGGGAGGAAUGCAGUCAGUGUUUCAUGCCAACCAAAAAAGACUGCAAACGUUUUUCCAUCCUUCUGCCUUGAAUACCUUUCUACUUAGAUGACUAUUUUGUAAGACGUGAGUGCAAAUGUUAUAUACAAUACCAACUCCAUACUAGAUGUUUAAUUAAUUCUAGGGAUUCAGUAAUAAGGAAUGACUCGAACAGAUUUCUGCCUACAGACAGCUAAUGCUUCUUGUAUUUUUGCAUUACCUGAAAUGAAAGUAGCAAUGUUAGAUUUUACAGUAGUGGGAGGUUGUAAACAAUAGUAUGUUAAACAUUUUUGAUCAUUUAUAAUAAAAUGUUCAGCACUAAACAUAUGGUCUGAUACUCUGUGCUUUAUUGCUUAAUAAGCUUUUUUUUUUCUUUUCGAGAGGGAGUCGUGCUCUGUCACCCAGGCUGGAGUGUAGUGGCGCGAUCUCUGCUCUGCUCAUUGCAACCUCUGCCUCCCUGGUUCAAGCAAUUCUUCUGCCUCAGCCUCCCAAGUAGCUUGGAUUACAGGCGCCCGCCACCACAC